GGGUUGUGAGGUUAAGCGACUAAGCGUACACGGUGGAUGCCCUGGCAGUCAGAGGCGAUGAAGGGCGUGCUAAUCUGCGAUAAGCGCCGGUAAGGUGAUAUGAACCGUUAUAACCGGCGAUACCCGAAUGGGGAAACCCAGUGUGAUUCGUCACACUAUCAUUAACUGAAUCCAUAGGUUAAUGAGGCGAACCGGGGGAACUGAAACAUCUAAGUACCCCGAGGAAAAGAAAUCAACCGAGAUUCCCCCAGUAGCGGCGAGCGAACGGGGAGGAGCCCAGAGCCUGAAUCAGCAUGUGUGUUAGUGGAAGCGUCUGGAAAGGCGCGCGAUACAGGGUGACAGCCCCGUACACAAAAGCGCAUGUGCUGUGAGCUCGAUGAGUAGGGCGGGACACGUGGUAUCCUGUCUGAAUAUGGGGGGACCAUCCUCCAAGGCUAAAUACUCCUGACUGACCGAUAGUGAACCAGUACCGUGAGGGAAAGGCGAAAAGAACCCCGGCGAGGGGAGUGAAAAAGAACCUGAAACCGUGUACGUACAAGCAGUGGGAGCCCCACCACUAAGCCAGUGGUGAACUCCACAUACGCAUCCUUUGCUGAGGAUACGGUUAACGGAGCGAAAGCGACGUUCAACCGCAAAAGAAGCAGAGGGGGCUUAGUGGUGGGGUGACUGCGUACCUUUUGUAUAAUGGGUCAGCGACUUAUAUUCUGUAGCAAGGUUAACCGUAUAGGGGAGCCGGAGGGAAACCGAGUCUUAAUUGGGCGUUAAGUUGCAGGGUAUAGACCCGAAACCCGGUGAUCUAGCCAUGGGCAGGUUGAAGGUUGGGUAACACUAACUGGAGGACCGAACCGACUAAUGUUGAAAAAUUAGCGGAUGACCUGUGGCUGGGGGUGAAAGGCCAAUCAAACCGGGAGAUAGCUGGUUCUCCCCGAAAGCUAUUUAGGUAGCGCCUCGUGAAUUCAUCUCCGGGGGUAGAGCACUGUUUCGGCUAGGGGGCCAUCCCGGCUUACCAACCCGAUGCAAACUGCGAAUACCGGAGAAUGUUAUCACGGGAGACACACGGCGGGUGCUAACGUCCGUCGUGAAGAGGGAAACAACCCAGACCGCCAGCUAAGGUCCCAAAGUCAUGGUUAAGUGGGAAACGAUGUGGGAAGGCCCAGACAGCCGGGAUGUUGGCUUAGAAGCAGCCAUCAUUUAAAGAAAGCGUAAUAGCUCACUGGUCGAGUCGGCCUGCGCGGAAGAUGUAACGGGGCUAAACCAUGCACCGAAGCUGCGGCAGCGAACGUAUCACUUAAAGCGAUUCAGCGGGUUACGAUUGACGGAGCGAAGCGACGUCAAAGCGUAUACAAAGUCGAGUCGGUUUAAGGAUACGUUCGUUGGGUAGGGGAGCGUUCUGUAAGCCUGUGAAGGUGGCCUGUGAGGGUUGCUGGAGGUAUCAGAAGUGCGAAUGCUGACAUAAGUAACGAUAAAGCGGGUGAAAAGCCCGCUCGCCGGAAGACCAAGGGUUCCUGUCCAACGUUAAUCGGGGCAGGGUGAGUCGACCCCUAAGGCGAGGCCGAAAGGCGUAGUCGAUGGGAAACGGGUUAAUAUUCCCGUACUUGGUGUUACUGCGAAGGGGGGACGGAGAAGGCUAUGUUGGCCGGGCGACGGUUGUCCCGGUUUAAGCGUGUAGGUGUGUGUUCCAGGUAAAUCCGGUUCACUUUAACACUGAGGCGUGAUGACGAGGCACUACGGUGCUGAAGCAACAAAUGCCCUGCUUCCGGGAAAAGCCUCUAAGCAUCAGGUAACAUCAAAUCGUACCCCAAACCGACACAGGUGGUCAGGUAGAGAAUACCAAGGCGCUUGAGAGAACUCGGGUGAAGGAACUAGGCAAAAUGGUGCCGUAACUUCGGGAGAAGGCACGCUGACAUGUAGGUGAAGUGAUUUACUCAUGGAGCUGAAGUCAGUCGAAGAUACCAGCUGGCUGCAACUGUUUAUUAAAAACACAGCACUGUGCAAACACGAAAGUGGACGUAUACGGUGUGACGCCUGCCCGGUGCCGGAAGGUUAAUUGAUGGGGUCAGCGCAAGCGAAGCUCCUGAUCGAAGCCCCGGUAAACGGCGGCCGUAACUAUAACGGUCCUAAGGUAGCGAAAUUCCUUGUCGGGUAAGUUCCGACCUGCACGAAUGGCGUAAUGAUGGCCGGGCUGUCUCCACCCGAGACUCAGUGAAAUUGAACUCGCUGUGAAGAUGCAGUGUACCCGCGGCAAGACGGAAAGACCCCGUGAACCUUUACUAUAGCUUGACACUGAACAUUGAGCCUUGAUGUGUAGGAUAGGUGGGAGGCUUUGAAGUGUGGACGCCAGUCUGCAUGGAGCCGACCUUGAAAUACCACCCUUUAAUGUUUGAUGUUCUAACGUGGACCCGUAAUCCGGGUUGCGGACAGUGUCUGGUGGGUAGUUUGACUGGGGCGGUCUCCUCCUAAAGAGUAACGGAGGAGCACGAAGGUUGGCUAAUCCUGGUCGGACAUCAGGAGGUUAGUGCAAUGGCAUAAGCCAGCUUGACUGCGAGCGUGACGGCGCGAGCAGGUGCGAAAGCAGGUCAUAGUGAUCCGGUGGUUCUGAAUGGAAGGGCCAUCGCUCAACGGAUAAAAGGUACUCCGGGGAUAACAGGCUGAUACCGCCCAAGAGUUCAUAUCGACGGCGGUGUUUGGCACCUCGAUGUCGGCUCAUCACAUCCUGGGGCUGAAGUAGGUCCCAAGGGUAUGGCUGUUCGCCAUUUAAAGUGGUACGCGAGCUGGGUUUAGAACGUCGUGAGACAGUUCGGUCCCUAUCUGCCGUGGGCGCUGGAGAACUGAGGGGGGCUGCUCCUAGUACGAGAGGACCGGAGUGGACGCAUCACUGGUGUUCGGGUUGUCAUGCCAAUGGCACUGCCCGGUAGCUAAAUGCGGAAGAGAUAAGUGCUGAAAGCAUCUAAGCACGAAACUUGCCCCGAGAUGAGUUCUCCCUGAGACUUUAGGUCUCCUGAAGGAACGUUGAAGACGACGACGUUGAUAGGCCGGGUGUGUAAGCGCAGCGAUGCGUUGAGCUAACCGGUACUAAUGAACCGUGAGGCUUAACCUUACAACGCCGAAG
rnacentral:rRNA from 1 species